AUGUUUCUCCUGCCUGUUAUGUCUCUUCUUCUGCCUCUUCUGCCUCAGGAGUAUCUGCAUGGUUGCGCUGCCAUGAUAUGUCCUGGUGUUACCACUCUUUCAUCCUCCGAGGCAGGGACCACUGAUGCCAUUGUGGAGCCUCCCACCACAAUGAGACCAGCGGCAGAUUGCUGCACCUCUCAGAAUGAUGGAUGGAUCUCCUCUCCCUUCCCAGGCAGGAUGGCCAGCCCUGCUACUGAGACACCCUCCUACCCUUGCCCUUCCCAGAUUUAUUCCCUGUAUUUAUGGUACCCAGAGAGUCAUCAGUGUCCUGGGCCGGCUGAGCACUCAUUAUCUCUGCACUUGAUGGAUGGUGGAGGGACUGGACUUAGAGGCCCCGCUCCCCUGUGCCCCCCUCUGCCCUGGCCAUAGCAUGCCUCCCAACUCUCCCAGGAGUCAGAUAAUGGUCUAGGGUCAGUGCUGAAGGGAAGCAGCAGUGAUGGAGAAGGGAAGGCGCUAAAGUCUGUGGCGCCCACCUCUGAGUGCCACUGCCUCCUUGAGAACAGUCCCUGUGGCCUUCCCCAUCCCCUAGCACCAUUCCCAGGAAAUGGCCCCAUUACCCUCUCCCACUCCAUUAUCCCACCCUCACUGCACUGUGUACACAGUUUGCACUGUAAUAAUAAUGUGUGGUUUAUGUGUUUCUUUACAAGUGUUUUUAUGUCCUCUGUACGUAUG
rnacentral:lncRNA from 1 species